AUUGAACGCUAGCGGGAUGCUUUACACAUGCAAGUCGAACGAGUGGCGGACGGGUGAGUAAUAUAUCGGAACGUGCCCAGUAACGGGGGAUAACUACUCGAAAGAGUGGCUAAUACCGCAUACUAUUGGAGCGGCCGAUAUCGGAUUAGCUAGUUGGUGGGGUAAAGGCUCACCAGGGCAACGAUCCGUAGAUGGUUUGAGAGGACGACCGGCCACACUGGGACUGGGACACGGCCCAGACUCCUACGGGAGGCAGCAGUGGGAAAGUUUGGACAAUGGGGGAAACCCUGAUCCAGCCAUCCCGCGUGUAUGAGAAGGCCUUCGGUUUGUAAAGUACUUUUGGCAGAGAAGCGGUAUCGGCAGAAUAAGCACCGGCUAACUACGUGCCAGCAGCCGCGUAAUUC
rnacentral:rRNA from 1 species